rnacentral:rRNA from 1 species
GGGGUAACGGAAGUAGCUUGCUACUAGACGACGACCGGCGCACGGGUGAGUAACGCGUAUGUAAUCUGCCUUGUACAGAGGGAUAGCCCAGAGAAAUUUGGAUUAAUACCUCAUAGUAUUACUGGAUCGCAUGAUUUGGUAAUUAAAGCUCCGGCGGUACAAGAUGAACAUGCGUGACAUUAGCUAGUUGGUAAGGUAACGGCUUACCAAGGCUACGAUGUCUAGGGGUUCUGAGAGGAUGAUCCCCCACACUGGUACUGAGACACGGACCAGACUCCUACGGGAGGCAGCAGUGAGGAAUAUUGGUCAAUGGACGCAAGUCUGAACCAGCCAUCCCGCGUGAAGGAUGACUGCCCUAUGGGUUGUAAACUUCUUUUAUAUGCAAAUAAACCUACUUUCGUGAAAGUAGCUGAAGGUAGCAUAUGAAUAAACACCGGCUAACUCCGUGCCAGCAGCCGCGGUAAUACGGAGGGUGUAAGCGUUAUCCGGAUUUAUUGGGUUUAAAGGGUACGUAGGCGGUAAUAUAAGUCAGUGGUGAAAUCCUGCAGCUCA